GAUGCUGAAAAUUCAGCUUUGAUCAUCACAGGAAUAAAUUACAGUUUAAAACAUAUUCGCAUAGUUCUUUUAAAUAGUAAUAAUAUUUCGCAACAUUGCUGUUUUUAUGGUAUUUUUGAUCAAAACUUGAAAAGUUUGAACUUUUUCGACCCCAAACUUUUGAACAGUAGUGCAUGACCUCAUUUUACUGAGAUUGACCCUCACAGAGCCAUCAUCUCAUGAACUGUCCUAGAACGCGCUCCGUCUGACCGCGGCGCGUGUUGCUUCCCCGAGGACCGUCGGUCCCGCCGCUAAUUUCCCGUUCCCUUCCUUUAUUCUUUAGGUGUGGCUUUCCCCACGAAAGGCUAAAUGCAUUUCCCGGGAUCCUCACUGAGCCCCUCAUCCCAUCCGAGUGUUAACAUUCACACGCUUUCGUUUCACAGCUGCCUUGUUGGUUUUGAGUGAUGUUUGUUCUCAAGCAUGAAUCUGGCCUAGCAGUCAGUCAGACACACUCCUGUUCGUUUACACUGGCUAUUCUCAGAGCCCUCAGAGACUGUACUCGUAAUGCCAUACAUAUGCCUCCGUGCUCACACGCGUGUCCCCUGGACUGUGCCGCUGACUGCUAUGCUUUGGUGUGGAACGGAAGGAGAAAAAAAAAAAAAAAUCGAUUGUUCUGCUUUACUAAUCACUUAAUCGGUUGCCGUACAUUUCUAUUCUCCUGUUUCUUUUAUACUCCAGCAGAUGUGCCUAAAUGUUGUUCUCUCUGUGCCUUAUCUCAGAGAGUGACUUUAUCAGUAUUAUAUUUAAAAACACUGUCGCUCCAGCGCAAGAUUACGUGACUAGUAAAGCUCCCCGUCGAGAGUAAUGUCCAUCAUACUGUGUCCAAACUGAUGCUAAAUGAAACCACGUUUGAAUUUUGUACAAACACGUGUUGAGAGAUUUACAUAUGGGGGAAAAAAGUAUUAUUUGUGCCUUAACUUGUAUAAUUUAAAUGAUUUGCAUUCGUCAACACCUGAUGGAGACUGUGAGGUUUGACUGAUCUGAUGUUGAUGUGUUUUCUGGUGAUGUUAUUGCAAUCCAAGCAGGUGCGGUGACAACUAAAGUUCGAAGGCACGAAAUGCGCGUCCAUCCUUACCAAAGGGUAGUGACCGCAGACAGAGCCACCACUGGCAACUAACCCCUGACCUUCUGACCUCUUCACCCAAUGAUGACCUGCCCAUUACCUGCCUGCAGAUCACAUCUCUGCCCUAAAUUGAAUGAAUGAAAGAC